CACGCUGCCUUCCCUACGCAGACGCCACAUGGAUUCACUUCAUUGGCCUGUUUCCUUCUCCCCCAUUCUCCCUGGCAAGUGCUGAUUCUCGUCUCCUCUGGGAAGCUGUCCCUGAACCACUUAGAACCUUUGUGCCCCUUGGCCUGUGUCACGUGGCAGUGUGUGGCUUCACUUGCUGGUGUUUCCCUGCUCCCUUUGAGCCCUGAGACUUGCCUGGCAGUCGCUGUUUGAUGGGACUAGUCCUCUCCCAUGUGUUACAGAUAUGCUGUCCAAGGAGCCUCCGUGGUGUGACGGCUCCUUCUGCUACGAGUGCACUGCCAAGUUUGGAGUCACGACUCGCAAACACCACUGUCGUCACUGCGGACGUCUUCUUUGCCAUAAAUGCUCGACCAAGGAGAUUCCUAUCAUCAAGUUUGAUCUGAACAAGCCUGUGCGAGUUUGCAACAUUUGCUUUGAUGUGCUGACUCUGGGUGGGGUCUCUUAGUGAGCCCCCGGAGCGUCCAGGCCACGUUCUUGGUCACCUCCCCAGCAGCUGCUCUGCUCACCAGCCUGACUCCCCCCAGAGCAGGGGCUGGCAGUCAUCCUCCUGCGGCAAUAGACUGGAAUAUUUAAGGACCAUGGUGUGAUAGAUCCGUUUUCCAGUGAUUCCCUAUGAUUGUCAGUGUGUGUGUCAGACUGUGAUCAGUUUCACUAGGUGUCUCAUUGAUUGGACCAGGCCAUUUAGCCUAAGUGGUUAAUGUGAUUAGGAAUUAGACCCCUCCCCAUUCUGCUACCAACAUACAAGGACACUUGGAAAAGCAUUUUCGCUUCUAGUAGCUUGGUGUCCAUCCCAGAGCAUUCAUGAAGUCUUCCCGCCUGGGCUGGCUGAGGCGGCAGAGCCUCACAGAGUAGGAAGCUGGCUGCCUAGUGAGCCAGCUUCACGCUAGGGUGGUGGCUGUGGACUUUUCUGCACAGUGUUUUCAUAAAGAUAAUGGGAUCCUCUUGCCCUGAAGUCUUUUUUUCUUUUUAAGCUAAGCUGUGUUUUAGUGAGCUACGCCUUUUAAAAAGGUGAAAUCUUUAACAGGGUUCAAAGAUGAGAGCUGAAAAAUUGUGGCCUUACCAACUGAAAGCUUUACAGUGUUCGUGCUACGCAGGUGUCGGGUGCAGCUGGCCGCCUGACACCUCGUGGCAGCGUCUCAUUCUCUCGUCUUGCUGCGUGCUGUGUGGAGCCCCAGUCCCUCUGCCGCUGGAGAGUGGUGGAGAAAGCGCACUUUGUGCUGCCCUUUUAUAGAGCUGCAUUAUCGGUGAUCCCAAUUUAAAAGUCCCUGUUCAGACACACCCUCACACAUCCUUGCAUCAGUGAGUCCAAUGAUCAGCUGUGACUGGACCUCAGCUCACACUAAUCUUUAAGGAAAAACUCUGUAGUGUCUUUGAGAGCAAGAGAUUCAUCCAGGCUGAGUGAUGAGGCACGAUCAAUAUGGCUUCAGCCCCAAGAGUGUCUCCAGCCUCAGGCCGGCAGGUCCUGUGUCCUUGACGCAAAUGCUUCUUGCUGAAAUCCUCCCUCGUGAUGCUGCGAAUGCUGUUGACCCCAGUUCCGUGUAGCUUGCCGUGCCCUGUGAAGGGCCAGCAGCUGAGGGCCACAGCCACGUGUGCACCACCCCAUUUUGGAAGUCUCUGGCUUGUGUGCUGGGUGAGGCCACCAAAACUUGCUGGGCCUUAGUUGCUGCUACUACAUCUAUUAACCAUGAGCUGUUAAACUUCUUUUUUGAAGGUUUAGCCAGUUUCUAAAAAAUGCACAUUUAAAGAGAAACAUCUACCACUGCUUUAAAACAAAACAACUCUGAGUGAACGCUGUGUGUUGUACUCGGAGACUGAGUCUCAGUCAGACAUGCUGAUCCUCUCAUUUAAUAACCACUACCUUUUUGCAUUAAUGAAGUUUGAAUAUGUGUGUUAAAGGGACUAAAUAUUUUUUGCAACAUCAUUUGUUUCUUUUCUAGGUAGUGUGUCCUCUGUGUUGCUGUGGAUUUACACAUUCUGUUGCCUAAACGUGUAAAAUGAGCUGAUAAAUUGGCGUGCUACUUUAAAAAACAUCUCUGUGAUUUAUAAGAUAUGUGUGCUUUCUAUGUUAAUAUAAGUUUGUGCACAAU